GCCACGUGAUGAUAUCAAGGCUGUUGUGAUUCAGUUGGUCUGGCCAAGCCCGGAGACCUUUGACCUACUAAGGUCUGUAAUCUUGGUGGGUCAUACAGAGGUAUGUGUGCUCACUGUAAGGGCAGACCAACAGGAAUAUUGUCCUACUUUUGAACCGCCUUUCUUAGGAGGGGUGGUUCUUCCAGUUGCCAGAGAGAAAUUGUGGUAACUGGCAUGAGAGUGGGAACAGAGAUAUUCAAGGUAUCAGGUCAGGGGUCUCAAAGGACUUGGCUAUGUUGUGACCACUGAGAGAUGAAACACAGAUCUUUGGUAAUCUGAUGGCU
ensembl:snoRNA